GAUGAAGAACGCAGCGAAAUGCGAUAAGUAAUGUGAAUUGCAGAAUUCAGUGAAUCAUCGAAUCUUUGAACGCACAUUGCGCCCGCCAGUAUUCUGGCGGGCAUGCCUGUUCGAGCGUCAUUUCAACCAUCAAGCCCCAGGCUUGUGUUGGAGCCCUGCGGCUGCCGCAGCCUCCCAAAACCAGUGGCGGGCUCGCUAUCACACCGAGUGCAGUAGUUUACUCUUCGCUCAGGGCGUGUGGCGGGUGCUAGCCGUAAAACCCCCAACUUCUCAAGGUUGACCUCGAAUCAGGUAGGAAUACCCGCUGAACUUAAGCAUAUCAAUAAGCGGAGGA
rnacentral:misc_RNA from 1 species